UACGUAGGGUGCGAGCGUUGUCCGGAAUUAUUGGGCGUAAAGAGCUCGUAGGCGGUCUGUCGCGUCUGCUGUGAAAACUCGGGGCUUAACCCCGGGCCUGCAGUGGGUACGGGCAGACUAGAGUGCGGUAGGGGAGACUGGAAUUCCUGGUGUAGCGGUGAAAUGCGUAGAUAUCGGGAGGAACACCUGUGGCGAAGGCGGCCCCCUGGUUGGAUACUGACGCUGAUACGCGAAAGCGUGGGGAGCAACAGG
rnacentral:rRNA from 1 species